AAACCAGCACCUCAAGUGGUCAGGAUGAUUAUUGGGCCUAAAGCAUCCGUAGCCUGUUCUGUAAGUUUUCGGUUAAAUCCAUUAGCUCAACUAAUGGGCUGCCGAAAAUACUGCAGAACUAGGGAGUGGGAGAGGUAGACGGUAUUCGGUAGGAAGGGGUAAAAUCCUUUGAUCUAUUGAGGGCCACCUGUGGCGAAGGCGGUCUACCAGAACACGUUCGACGGUGAGGGAUGAAAGCUGGGGGAGCAAACCGGAUUAGAAACCCCAGUAGUCC
rnacentral:rRNA from 1 species